GGGGCGGCUUGUGGUGGGGAUGGAAGGUGAGAAGAAUGACAGACUUGUAUGAAAAUGUUAACUAAUGGUUACUUGACACGCCAUCAACAUCUGGGUGAAAUAGAAACUAUAUAUAGUGAGGAUAUAUAGACAUACACGGGUGUUGAAAGAGGAGAAGUGAAAAAAAAUAUGAAGGCUUUAGGAUGCUUAUUGGUUUUAAUAAUUUUACUUCUACAAGAUGUUGAUGCUGGCUAUACUAGAAACGUUUUAUCCAAUGGGAAUUGUCACGGCAACUUAAACAAUUGUCCAAGCAAUGAAAUCUGUGCAUCGGGUGAAAAUUGUAUUGUCACUCACGUACUAUGUAUAGACAGAUGUUUUCCUUGU